AACGAACGCUGGCGGCGUGCCUAACACAUGCAAGUCGAGCGCGAAUAGGGGCAACCCUUAGUAGAGCGGCGCACGGGUGCGUAACACGUGGGUAAUCUGCCUGGGAGAUUGGGAUAACCUGCCGAAAGGCUGGCUAAUACCAGAUAAGCUCACGGGCUCUUCGGAGCCUGAGAGAAAAGGUGGCCUCUGUAUACAAGCUAUCACUUCCAGAUGAGCCCGCGGCCCAUCAGCUAGUUGGCGGGGUAAUGGCCCACCAAGGCAACGACGGGUAGCUUGUCUGAGAGGACGAUCAGCCACACUGGAACUGAGACACGGUCCAGACUCCUACGGGAGGCAGCAGUGGGGAAUUUUGCACAAUGGGCGAAAGCCUGAUGCAGCAACGCCGCGUGUGUGAUGAAGGUCUUCGGAUUGUAAAGCACUUUCGACCGGGACGAAAACCCGUUGGCUAACAUCCAGUGGCUUGAUGGUACCGGGAGAAGAAGCACCGGCUAACUCUGUGCCAGCCGCCGCAGUAA
rnacentral:rRNA from 1 species